rnacentral:pre_miRNA from 1 species
AAUGGGGCUCUGGAAUCCUGGUUUUCUCUGGUGCAUAGAUUAACGCUUUGAAUUUGUGUCUAGCACCAUUUGAAAUCAGUUUUCCUGGGUGCUCAC